rnacentral:rRNA from 1 species
AACGAACGCUGGCGGCAUGCCUAACACAUGCAAGUCGAACGAGACCUUCGGGUCUAGUGGCGCACGGGUGCGUAACGCGUGGGAAUCUGCCCUUGGGUUCGGAAUAACAGUGAGAAAUUACUGCUAAUACCGGAUGAUGUCUUCGGACCAAAGAUUUAUCGCCCAGGGAUGAGCCCGCGUAGGAUUAGCUAGUUGGUGGGGUAAUGGCCUACCAAGGCGACGAUCCUUAGCUGGUCUGAGAGGAUGAUCAGCCACACUGGGACUGCGACACGGCCCAGACUCCUACGGGAGGCAGCAGUGGGGAAUAUUGGACAAUGGGCGCAAGCCUGAUCCAGCAAUGCCGCGUGAGUGAUGAAGGCCUUAGGGUUGUAAAGCUCUUUUACCCGGGAUGAUAAUGACAGUACCGGGAGAAUAAGCUCCGGCUAACUCCGUG